rnacentral:rRNA from 1 species
UACGUAGGGGGCAAGCGUUAUCCGGAAUCAUUGGGCGUAAAGCGCGUGUAGGCGGUUCAGUAAGUCCGCUCUGAAAAGCCCAGGGCUCAACCCUGGGAGGCGGGUGGAUACUACUGAACUAGAGUACGGAAGAGGAGAUUGGAAUUCCUGGUGUAGCGGUGAAAUGCGCAGAUAUCAGGAGGAACACCAACAGCGAAGGCAGAUCUCUGGGACGUAACUGACGCUGAGACGCGAAAGCGUGGGGAGCAAACAGG